CAUUUUUCUACAAAUGAGUGUUAAUUCCCAGUCAUAACAACAUUAACAAAUUAUUCCCAACGUCACAACGAUUGCGCAUUUACAUUAACUACUUAUAAUUACUGAAACCGGUGUCCUUGUUUGAAGUAAUAAAUAUUAUGCGAGGUAGUUAUUUUAUUACAAAUGUCUCUACUUUUAGAAAUCGGAAUCAAGAGUUUUCACAGUCUUGUGUCACUGUAGAAAUCUUCGUGCAACAAUGUAAAACUAUGUGAUGUGCAAUGACCAUGACGCUUGUAAUAAAUACCCAUUUGUUGAAAAAAGAAAUUGCAUUAUUCACAUAAAACAAUUGCUAGUGUACAGAAUCCGUAACUGUAUUUUUUUUAGUACCGUAAACACUAAGAAAGAGUUCACUUAUUUACUUCAUUACACUGUCUUAAAUGGUAUAGUUUAAAUUAUUUGAGAAAAUAAUACUUACCGGAGGUGGUUCUGAAGAAUAUAUUUCAGAUGGUGGAUACUCAGGUUUAAUAGUGAUAGUUGCCAUCGAAUCAGGUUGCGGUUCCUUCUCCAUUGUUUUAGGUAAUCACAGUACAAAACUAAUCCCUUUGUUAAAAUAUUAAAUAUUUAAAAUAAGAAUGCUCACUCCACUAGCAACUGAAAUCGACUGACAGGGAUAAUGGUAGUGGAUCUUUCCUGUCCAUCUCCCAGUCUGUUUGAUUCCCCACCUUUGAAACGCAAUGGAACUGGAAAGUAAAUGGUGGAAUAAAUCUAGAACAUGAGUUAAUCUGACGUGGUUAGCAUGGAUAUGGGAUAUGGGUUCAAAAUCAGCUGACUUUAAAUAUUACAAUGGCACACAUGCUCAAAAUAUUUGUUUAUAAAUAAACAGAAUAAAAAUUA